UUGCAAAGAGAUUUUUUAAAAAUGUGUUUUUUUUCCCCUGUAGAGACUUCCAUUACUAAUAAUUCAGAAGAAAACAUGCCUUUAUCAAAAUAUUCAUUCCAGCACACGGAAUGAAGACACUGGGCAAGAAUCCUUCAUACUGUAAUUUCAUCUCCUUUCGUCAUCUUUCUUCACCAUGCUCUCAGUCAAUGACUUCAAUUACUUAUAACCAUUCUCUUUAUCAGCAUUACAUUCCAUCUUUAAGAAUUAAGCGUCAUAUACUGAUCCUUCUACCUGCAUCAUGACUAUAAAUACCUGCAUGUAGCACUAAGAGCAGAUUCACAAUCAACUUAACUAAUGAUGGGAGAGAUCAGGAAGGAGAUAGAAUCUAAAUGAAAAAGUGAAAACUCUUAAGACUUGAAACUGAGACAAUUGAUUGCUGAGGUAUUUGUAUUUUGGUUUAUAUAUGAGUGGCUGUAUCAGUUUAACCAACUAGACUUAGUAUGGUGAGUCUUAAAAGUACACCAGUAUUUCCAAGACUGCUUAGGGCAAUGGGCCUUAAUCUCUCAAAAAUGAGUAUUUCUGAGGUUGGAAUAUGCCUUCCAAAUGCCACAUUUGCAUAAUUGCAUGAAUUUAGCUAUAAUAUUUGGAUUAAUUUCUUCUGGCUUACUUGUCAUUUCUAGUCAACCUUCUAGUUCAUUUGCAUAUAUAGAUUCUAGGAGAGAAUGGAUGGUCUAGCUGAAUUAAUACACUUGUUUCCUUAACUCUUUUUUUUUAAAUUUCUUUAUUGGGGAAUUAAUGUUUUACAUUCAACAGUAAAUACAAUAGUUUGUACAUGCAUAACAUUUCCCAGUUUUCCAUAUAACAAUACAACAACCCCCACUAGGUCCUCUGUCAUCCUUUUUGGACCUGUAUUCUCCCCCACACACACACACCCACCUUAACUCUAUUUUUAGAAAGAUUUAUUUUCACGAGAAACUGGAUUACUAUUCAAGUUUGGCUUGUGGCAGAUAAUUGUAUACAUUUAUUGAUACCACUUUCUAUGUGCUUUUGAAAUAUGAACUCAUUUGGAGUUAAUAAGACAGCUCACUUGGAUAGCACACUUGCUUUGUCAUAGGUCCAACUCAGGUUUGAGUCCAACUCACAAGGCACUGAAGAAAGCUUUAGUGUUGUAUCUUUCUCUGUGUGUCUCUAGCUCUGCCUUCAUUUUUAGAGGUGGGGGGACCUAUUAUUAAGGCUUGUGAAUUUGUCAUUAUAACCAGAUUUUUGUGUGAUUUAGCCAACUUUUUGAAUAAAUAGUCUAAAAAAUA